AUCUAGGUGGCUUAGUCGGUUAAGCAUCUGACUUCAGCUCAGGUCAUGAUCUCAUGGUUCAUGGGUUCAAGCCCCAUGUUGGGCU
rnacentral:tRNA from 1 species